CUCUCGGACUCGCAGGCCCCCGAGGCCCCAGCACCCAGCUUGCCUCUCACUCAGCCCUGAUCUGGGUUCUGGCUGAGGCCUCCAGGGGGGAUGGGCUCAGGCGCCUGGGGUUCUCCAAGGAGUGCUGCUGCCCUUCUCGGGCCCCUUGAUGGAGCAGAGCCUGCUCCAAAUGCCUGCAGACGAGGAGGCAGCAGGCUAGCAACUCUGUUCCACACGCUUCCAAAGUGGGCGUCUGAAAGGCCGGUGGGGCUGGGGUGCGGGCGCAUUUGUAUUUCAAGUGGCUGCUGCUCAUGAAUCACCAGUUUCAUUUUGUGCUCUCAGCUCUGCGAAGACAUCAUUUCCACCCAGCCUCACUGGAGCUGGCGGCCAGAGCCUCUUAGUGGGACUAUAAAUAGCAAAUCAUCAACUCACCUCCUGAGCUCAUCACAGGCUCCUCGGUUUACUGUGUCUUCCUGCUGCCUGAACGUCAGUCACUCAGAUUUCCCAGACAAAAGCAGAGAAACGCAUUUGGAUCUUGUUCAAAAGGUCACGGUGUUUUAGUAAUAUGGUUAAACAACGUGUGUGUUUGGACUUUGCUCUGUUUCCAUAAAGAAACACCUACCCCAUAAUAAAAUGUGACUGGGUUGACUGACAGCAUGAGUUAUUUCACAACGAGGUUGAGAAAUUGCUCCCCGCCAGUGCUUCUGAGUGAAAAUGGACCGACCCUAAAGACCUUCUUGUUAAAUGUGGCAGAAGAGCCUCUCAUGAAUCUCCGCUACCAAAAAAAAAAAAAAAGAGUUACAAAUCCACAAAGUCUAUGAGAAUAGGAGAUGGCAGCAGAUGAAGAUGUCAGCACAUCGUUGGAAGGUGGGAAGCAGAGGAAAGAGAGGAAACCCUCCACCGGAGCGAGAGAAUAAUCCAAGUAUGAGGAAGACAUGCCCAGGAGAGGGCAAAGGGAUGCCCAGGAUGGUGGCAAAGGGGCCCCUGGAGUACAGCAGGGCAGGAGGCCCAAGGAUGAGAGUCCCUUUUGUGCCAGAGAAUAGAGGACGUUCAGGACAGAGAUGGGCUGCAUGGAUUACCUGACAGGGGUGACUAGGUGGAAAAUUAUGCUGAGGGGCUGUUAGAAGGUUGUGAGAAUUAAUAAGUUUAUCAAAAACUGAGUAAAUAAGAAGUAUGAGGCAAUUACUUCCUACAGAAAACCCACAACACAUAAACUGUAACAGAAGAUAAAUGCAAUACCAAAAAAAUUUACAUAGCCAUCAUAAUGUAAAUACAGAUCAUUGAUUAAACCAAAGACUGUAAUAAACAAUUUGGGAAGCUGGGGGAAGGGAAGGAGGAUGCAGGGGGUGGUGGCUAAAGAAACAAACCCUUAUCUUCCAUAAUUGCAAGAAAAUGGGUACUGUCUAAAAUUGACAAAUCAACAAAAUAGCACUAUAAGCAUACUAUUUAGAAAUGUGGGGAAAGAGCUUAAAACUAGGAAAAACAGCAGAAAGAGUUUAACUGGAUACCUCUGGGGGGUCAGACAGGGGGUUGGGGUUGGAUGGGAUAGGGGACUGCUGUUUUUCACUAUAUGCCUUUUAGUACUAUUUGACUUUUUGACUUUUGUGUUUAUAUACAUUAUUUUCAUUAAAAUAAAAACAUAAUUUUCAAAAGAAAAAUUGAUAGAAAAUAA